rnacentral:ncRNA from 1 species
CGCCUCAUGCCUGAAAGGGCAACGGUGUCGAGCCGGAGCGAGGAGUCAGCAGAGGCCGUAGUAGUCAGCGGCGUGGCCGGCAAGGCUAGGGGCCGCGGGCGAAGGGC